UACAUGCAACUUCAAGUUAUCUCUGUUAUAAAAAUCCACCAGCCCAGCGUUUAUAGAUAAUUUUAGCAGUUCGUUUUUUAUGAGUGAGGUUGUGAAUUUAGUUAGCGUUUGUUAGUUGACUUUAAGUGUAGAGCUUAAGCAGUUUUGGCUUUCCUUUUUCAUAAUGCCAGGAGAAGCUUUAGAUGCUUGUUUUGCCUUUAUUUGUUUAAAGCAAUAUAUUUGACUAGCAGCAAGUGUGUGGAGGGCAAAAUAUGUUCAAGACAAUAAAAAUGUCAGUGAAGGACAAAUGAAAUUUUGUUGCAGUGGUUUUCUGAUGCAUGUGUUUUAAGGUUUAAGGGUGGUGGCACAGCUAAGACCCAAGAGUCUCUUUCAAGACACUGAAUUUGAGCAGAAACCAUAAGGAUACUCAAAGGACCUGUGACUCUCAGGAAAUGCAUCAAAUGAGAGGGACAGAUGAAACAGUUUCAAGACAAUGGCAGGAAAAACAUGCUGAAGAUUGAAACAAACCUUGGCUGGAAAUAUUUGAAGGUAUCUAGCCAGUCCACAAUGAAAGCUUCGUUGCACCCCAUGAGUCUUCUGGCAGAAAUGAUGGCACCUGUAUUCUUUGGUUUCUCUAAACAUCACACCCUGCCUGUUUAUACGAGGCUCUUCAAUUAAGUCUGCACCCAAAGAUUCAAUAAGAGGUAAGCAGUGGUAUUAUUCAAGUUUUGCUAAAGAAAGAUGGACAGGAGACACUAAUCUUAAUCAGCCGAGCUCAGGUUCAUGUCCAGGUGAGCAGUUUCAUACGCUAUAAAAUGUAGAUUGAAUGAUAGGUCUCAUCACCAUGCAUUCAGCCAUUAACUUCAAGUUCUAUGAUAAAUCAAUAGGAAACUUAAAUACGUUUUCCAACAAAUUAUGAUUGUGAUUAGGGCUGCGUUGUCUAUGUAUCACUUUUACAUAAGUAGCAGGGCUCUAGAGUGCGAC
ensembl:lncRNA